rnacentral:rRNA from 1 species
AACGAACGCUGGCGGCAUGCCUAACACAUGCAAGUCGAACGAGACCUUCGGGUCUAGUGGCGCACGGGUGCGUAACGCGUGGGAACCUGCCCUUAGGUUCGGAAUAACUUCCCGAAAGGGGUGCUAAUACCGGAUAAUGUCUUCGGACCAAAGAUUUAUCGCCUUUGGAUGGGCCCGCGUUGGAUUAGCUAGUUGGUAGGGUAAAAGCCUACCAAGGCGACGAUCCAUAGCUGGUCUGAGAGGAUGAUCAGCCACACUGGGACUGAGACACGGCCCAGACUCCUACGGGAGGCAGCAGUGGGGAAUAUUGGACAAUGGGCGAAAGCCUGAUCCAUCAAUGCCGCGUGAGUGAUGAAGGCCUUAGGGUUGUAAAGCUCUUUUACCCGGGAUGAUAAUGACAGUACCGGGAGAAUAAGCUCCGGCUAACUCCGUG